rnacentral:rRNA from 1 species
UACGUAGGGGUGAGCGUGUUCGACGAUGUACUGGGCGUAAAGCGCAACGUAGGCGGUUAUCUAAGUCUGGGGUGAAAGGUUCAGCUUAACGCGAACAGUGCCUUGGAGACUGGAUGACUUGAGUUUGGGAGAGGGUAGUGGAAUGGCUGGUGUAGCGGUGAAAUGCGUAGAUAUCAGUCGGAACACCAAUGGCGAAGGCAGCUACCUGGCCUAAAAACUGACGCUGAGGUGCGAAAGCGUGGGGAGCGAACGGG